CCUACGGGAGGCAGCAGUAGGGAAUAUUGCUCAAUGGGGGAAACCCUGAAGCAGCAACGCCGCGUGGAGGAUGACGGUUCUAGGAUUGUAAACCCCUUUUGUGCGAGAAGAUAAUGACGGUAUCCCACGAAUAAGCACCGGCUAACUCCGUGACAGCAUCCGCUGUUAUACGGAGGGUGCAAGCGUUACUCCGAAUCAUUGGGCGUAAAGAGUGCGCAGGCGGGCUUGUAAGUCAGAUGUGAAAUCCUGUAGCUUAACUACAGAACUGCAUUUGAAACUAUGGGUCUAGAGUGUGCGAGAGGUAGGUGGAAUUCGUGGUGUAGGGGUAAAAUCCGUAGAUAUCAAGAAGAAUACUCAUUGCGAAGGCGACCUACUGGAACAUUACUGACGCUGAUGCACGAAAGCGUGGGGAGCGAACAGGAUUAGAUACCCGAGUAGUC
rnacentral:rRNA from 1 species